GUGACACAGUAUUCAGAAGGAAAGAGGAGAAGGAAACUGACUGAAUCAGGCAGAAAGGCCUAUCUUUCAGCUGGUGAAGUAUCACUGACAGCCCCACAGGGAUCUGUUUGCUGCUUUUAUACGUGAAGACAGCUUUAGCAUGGACAUGUAUCAAUGAAGAUGGUCUUAGUAUGCAGCUUCAGCUAUAGACACAUUCAAGAUUUUGAAAACGAACAUCAGAAUAGUUUUCCAUGGUUUGAUGUGUUUCUACAUACCUGCACAGUACUCGAUCCGAAGAACAUCUGUUUUACCAGCUGUGAAGCAGGACUGUAUGUUCUUGUGAAAAAUGGGGCUUCAGAGAUGGCCCCAUAAGUAGCUGCUGAGGACUCUCACUGGAUAAAGCGGGCGGAAAUAAGUAGUCACUACCAGUUAUAUUGGACCUCAUAGGAUCUCUGGUGUGUACAAGGAAUCAUUGAUAAAACCAAUAAUUACGUC